UUCCGGUUGAUCCUGCCGGAAGCUACUGCUAUUGGGAUUCGAUUAAGCCAUGCAAGUCGAAUGAAUUCAUAUUCAUGGCAUACGGCUCAGUAACACGUGGAUAACUUACCCUUAGGACUGGGAUAACUUUGGGAAACUGAAGAUAAUACUGGAUAUUAAGCUAUGCCUGCAAUGGUUUGCUUAUGAAACGUUUUUCGCCUAAGGAUAGAUCUGCGGCUGAUUAGGUCGUUGGUGGGGUAAAGGCCCACCAAGCCGAUGAUCGGUACGGGUUGUGAGAGCAAGAGCCCGGAGAUGGAACCUGAGACAAGGUUCCAGACCCUACGGGGUGCAGCAGGCGCGAAACCUCCACAAUGUACGAAAGUGCGAUGGGGGGAUCCCAAGUGCUAUUCUUAACAGAAUAGCUUUUCAUUAGUGUAAAAAGCUUUUAGAAUAAGAGCUGGGCAAGACCAGUGCCAGCCGCCGCGGUAAUACCGGCAGCUCAAGUGGUAGCUGUUUUUAUUGGGCCUAAAGCGUUCGUAGCCGGUUUAAUAAGUCUUUGGUGAAAGCUUGUAGCUUAACUAUAAGAAUUGCUGGAGAUACUAUUAGACUUGAAGUCGGGAGAGGUUAGAGGUACUACCGGGGUAGGGGUGAAAUCCUAUAAUCCUGGGAGGACCACCUGUGGCGAAGGCGUCUAACUAGAACGAUCUUGACGGUGAGUAACGAAAGCCAGGGGCGCGAACCGGAUUAGAUACCCGGGUAGUCCUGGCCGUAAACGAUGUGGACUUGGUGUUGGAAUGGCUUCGAGUUGUUCCAGUGCCGAAGGGAAGCUGUUAAGUCCACCGCCUGGGAAGUACGGUCGCAAAACUGAAACUUAAAGGAAUUGGCGGG
rnacentral:rRNA from 1 species